GCUGGCGGCGCGCUUAACACAUGCAAGUCGCACGAGAAAGUGGAGCAAUCCAUGAGUAAAGUGGCGUACGGGUGAGUAACACGUGGAUCAUCUACCUCUUGGUGGGGAAUAACCCUGGGAAACCGGGGCUAAUACCGCAUAAGCCUGCGAAGGGAAAGCAGCAAUGCGCCGAGAGAGGAGUCCGCGGCCGAUUAGCUUGUUGGUAGGGUAAUGGCCUACCAAGGCAAUGAUCGGUAGCCGGCCUGAGAGGGCACACGGCCACACUGGCACUGAAACACGGGCCAGACUCCUACGGGAGGCAGCAGUGGGGAAUCUUGCACAAUGGGGGCAACCCUGAUGCAGCGACGCCGCGUGAGCGAUGAAGCCCUUCGGGGUGUAAAGCUCUUUCGGCAGGAACGAUAAUGACGGUACCUGCAGAAGAAGCUGCGGCUAACUACGUGCCAGCAGCCGCGGUAAUACGUAGGCAGCAAGCGUUGUUCGGAGUUACUGGGCGUAAAGAGUGUGUAGGCGGUUCUCUAAGUUCCGUGUGAAAUCUCCCGGCUCAACUGGGAGGGUGCGCGGAAAACUGGAGGGCUUGAGUAUGGGAGAGGAAAGCGGAAUUCCUGGUGUA
rnacentral:rRNA from 1 species